GUGUGUAUGCGUGCGUGUGCCUCUGUGUGUAUGCGUGCUUACGUGAAGUGAUCUUAUUGGCCUCUUUUUUUUAUUGUUAUUUUCUUUGCCCUGCCCUCCCCGUCUCGAUUCAUUCCCCGUUGUGUGUCUUUCCUAGAAUUUAGUGGCACAAUGUUCGGAGGAGGCAUGGAUGAUAUGCUGAACGCCAUGCUCAACGGCGGCAUGGGCGGCUUCGGCGGCGGUCGCGGCGGACGAGUACAGCGCAGUCGACGCGGUCGCGAUGCGGCUUACGCCUUACCUGUCACCCUCGAAGACCUUUACAAUGGCAAGAUGGUGCAGAUAGAACGCAAGCGUACGGUGAUGUGCCCCGAUUGCAAAGGUACCGGCUCCAAGAGAAGAAGCCUGCCACGGGGCGGCAAUAUGUGCCCAGUAUGCCGUGGCAGCGGCUCGCGUGUGAUGGUGAGACAGAUGGGUAUGAUGGUGCAGCAGAUGCAGGUGGUUUGCGACGCGUGCCAGGGCUCCGGCGAGCACAUCGACCCACGCAACCGCUGCGGUCGCUGCUCGGGCAACAAAACAGUAGAGGUGGACGCCUCGGUGCAGGUGGUCGUGGAGAAGGGUAUGGCGCACCGUCAGCGAAUCACCUUUCCGCGGAUGGCCGACGAAGAGCUGGGGGUGGAGCGCGCCGGCGACUUUGUCGUGGUGCUGCAGCAGGUGAAGCAUGACGUCUUCACCCGCGACGACUGUGACUUGCACAUGCAGCACCACCUCUCCCUUGCGGAGGCUCUCUGCGGCUUUCAGUUCAAGUUCACCCACCUUGACGGUCGCGAGCUGGUGGUGAGGCAAGCGCGUGGGACUAUAACGAAGCCCGGCGAUGUCAAGUGCGUCAUCGGCGAGGGUAUGCCGUUGCACAAGCAGGCCAACAGGUUUGGUAACCUCAUCAUUGAGUUCAACGUCAAGUACCCCGAUCGCAUCGAGGCAGGGCAACUGCAGCUGCUCCGCGAAGCGCUGCCGCCACCGAAGAGUGUCGACGUGGCUGCGGACAAUGAGGCAGGCGAUGUCUGCUACGUCACCCGAGAGGACUUGUCCGUCUUAGAGGAGGAGAUCAAGAAGGACGAAGAGGCGGAGGAGGAGAAUGAGGGUCCGCAGACCGGCUGCGCGGCGCAGUAGUCGGUGUCAACAUGCUCGUCGGCCGUGCGGGGAGGUGUGGGAGUGAUGGUGAUGGUGAACGGGUGGUGCUGUACAGAGAGAGAAAAGGCAAAGGGCAGAGCGCGUACUCGGUGGCGCGCCUGCGCUUCUCUAUCUGGGUGCGUGUGUGUGAAAGCUUGUAUGCUAUUCGGCAGGCAGUGGCCUGUCUCUCUUGCCUCGUUCGUCUCCAAUGGAUGCCGCCCUCUAUCCAUCCUCCCCCUACCCCACUCCUCCUCUCGUACCCGCUGGGUACGGCUUGUCUGCUUACGUGAUUUGCUCGUCUUUCUUUGGUAUCUCUGUGGAUGCGCGCUACUUCUCGUCUCCCUUGUGUGAUUCGGCCACGGCGCGUUCGCUUCCGUGCCAUUCGCCUCCGCCGCGCCCCCCCCCCUGGCAUCCAACGUCCUUCCAUGCGUGCCCGUGGGGGCACAAGGGGCUACAGAGCGCAAAAGCGUGGUGAAGAUACGAUAACUGUUUAAUAUCUAACUACUCGGCGCCCUUUUUUAUUAUUUUUGCCCCUGUGGCAUACGAUAUGUAUGCUUUUGGGGUGUCUUUGCGCGUGCAUGUGUGCAUGGGCACGCUGCGAAUUGGUUUAAAUGCUGUUGCACCUCUGCGGCUCUCUACGGCUCGCAUCCACACUCGCGCUGUCUCCCUUGCUCUCUUGGACCUGGAGGGCGCGAGAGGUGGAUGCACUGGUGCCUCAUGGUAUGCGUCACCCCACGCACAUCACUUCUUAGGCUUUGUAUUGUAUCGGACCUCCGUUGUCAGCUUCGCCAAUUCUUGUCUCUCGCCGUGUCGCGACCUCCCUGAUGACGGUGGAGGGACACACACCUCCGUGCGUGGCAUCAGUGCCCAGUACCUCACUUUCUGUUGUGAGAUGCAAAGGAGCCCUCAUAUCUCUGCGACCUGCCGCGGCACUUCCGGUGGUGCCAGGGUCAGGUGUCUACGUCGUGUGGAGGUCAGUGCGACGUACUACUAGUGUCGGCAGUCCAGGUCUGGAUGAGGUUGCGUUCGAGAGACUCUCGACAGCGGACUCGUUUGCGCCAUCCACAUGAGUGGCAGAGUACCAGCUUGACUCGAAGGUAUCUCGCCCGACCCUCACUCCCGCGACUGGUAGGGAGCCCGAGCCGCUCCUGGAGAUGCACCACGUGGGGAGCGGCUGGGAGGCGACCUGCGAAGCAGGGGUGUGUAGCGCUCAAGGCGCAGGAGCCGUGCUCAGAUGGCCGAUUCGGCGCAUUUGGUGUAAUGGGUUUGUUUGUGGCUGCUUGGCACCGCGCGAUGGGGUCUGUGGGCUGCCCGGUAGCGUGGAGCUCGACGUAUGUUCCAAGGCAAGAUGGAGACGUUGAGAAGAAAAAUUGUGUACCUCGUGUGCGUCCGCAUCGGAGAUCGGCAGCGCGCACCUCGAUGAGCUCGUUCUAGUUGUCCAGCUGACUCACUUAGACGGGGUCUCCUGUGUGGUGUCUGGACCUUCGCGCACGCCGCAGUCAUGCCUCUCCACCGUUCGAAAAGUUCUGCAUGACUGCGUAGGCAGCUCCCGUCGCUCGCACGCACACACAC
rnacentral:misc_RNA from 1 species